CUGUAGCUAAUUAAAGCGACCAUGCUCCUUCCUUCAUGGGAGCCUGGUGUGCAAUGGCUGCAAACAGCAGCUUCCUUGGUAGUCUAUGCAGCCUGUCGCUUAUAUAGGGUGCUUUAAGGGACCUUGGAGACACUC